GACGAACGCUGGCGGCGUGCCUAAUACAUGCAAGUCGAACGCAGUGGGGACGGUUGAGUAACACGUGGGUAACCUCCCAUCAGAGGGGAUAACACUUGGAAACAGGUGCUAAACCCCUACUGACUGAUCUACCCGCGGUGAAUUAGCGAGUUGGUGAGGUAACGGCUUACCAAGGCCACGAUGCAUAGCCGACCUGAGAGGGGGAUCGGCCACACUGGGACUGAGACACGGCCCAGACUCCUACGGGAGGCAGCAGUAGGGAAUCUUCGGCAAUGGACGAAAGUCUGACCGAGCAACGCCGCGUGAGUGAAGAAGGUUUUCGGAUCGUAAAACUCUGUUGUUAGAGAAGCGGUAUCUAACCAGAAAGCCACGGCUAACUACGUGCCAGCAGCCGCGGUAAUAC
rnacentral:rRNA from 1 species